rnacentral:tRNA from 1 species
AGUGGAUAAGUGUUUGGCUGCUAACCAAAACGUUGGUAGUUCGAAUCCACCAGCCACUC